rnacentral:rRNA from 1 species
AUGAGGGAGCUGAUCUCAAGGAAAGAUGAAGCAAAGGAAAAGAAGGCCAGUGAAUCAGCAAUACGCAGAAGUGAUGUUAAUUUGGAUGGAAGUGAUGCUAGGGCUGCUGAUGAAUAUGACAUCUUGGGCGGUGGUAGUGGGGGUGGUUUGCUUGUAUCAUCAGGGAAACGACAGAGUAAGGGCAACACAUAUAGUUCUAUGGAUAAGUUUUGCACCAAGUCAAAAGAAGAGGUUGUGGCCGCAAGGAAGGGUGAAGGCUUUUCUACAAAGUUGCAAACCAAGUUGUCCACUCAAAGAAGGGAAUAG